GGACACAGCACCCCAAUAUGUGGGGACACAGCACCCUGAUAUAUGGGACACAGCACCCUGAUAUUGGGGUGCAGCACUCCAAUCUAUAGGGACACAGCACCCCAAUCUAUGGGGACACAGCACCCUGAUAUUGGGGUGCAGCACCCCAAUCUAUAGGGACACAGCACCCCAAUCUAUAGGGACGCAGCACCCCAAUCUUUAGGGGGGGGGCUGGGAAAAGUGCCAUCAGUGCGGGGCUGCCCUGCAUGGUUGGCACGUGGCACAGCCACAGCGUGUGCCAGCACCGAGUCCUUGCCAUGCCUGCGUGGCCACGAGCCACAGCUGGGCUCUGUGCCAUCAGCACGAGGUUGCCAGGCUCGGUGGCCACGUGCCACAGCCACCCUGUGUGCCACUGCCGUGUUGUUGCCGUGCCCACGUGGCCAUGUGCCACAUCUGGGCCCUGUGCCAUCAGCACGAGGUUGCCAUGCUUGGUGGCCACGUGCCACAUCCACACUGUAUGCCAUCACCACAUUCUGGCUGUUGCCCUCAUGGCCACGAGCCACAUCUGUGCCCUGUGCCACUGCCAUGCUCCUGCCAUGCUUGGUGGCCACUUGCCACACCUUUGCCCCUGUGCCAUCACCACGAGGUUGCCAUGCUCAGUGGCCACGUGCCACAUCUGUGCCCUCUGCCAUCACUACAUUCCAGCUGUGCCCGCGUGGCCACGAGCCACAUCUGGGCCCUGUGCCAUCACCACGAGGUUGCCAGGCUUGGUGGCCACGUGCCACAGCCACCCUGUGUGCCACUGCCGUGUUGUUGCCAUGCCCACGUGGCCACGUGCCACAUCUGGGCCCUGUGCCAUCAGCACGAGGUUGCCAUGUUUGGUGGCCACGUGCCACAUCUGUGCCCUGUGCCAUCACCACAUUCUGGCUGUGCUCACAUGGCCACGAGCCACAUCUGUGCCCUGUGCCAUCAGCACGAGGUUGCCAUGCUCGGUGGCCACGUGCCACAUCCACACUGUGUGCCAUCACCACAUUCUGGCUGUUGCCCUCAUGGCCACGAGCCACCUCUGUGCCCUGUGCCACUGCCAUGCUCCUACCAUGCUUGGUGGCCACUUGCCACACCUUUGCCCUGUGCCAUCACCAUGAGGUUGCCAUGCUUAGUGGCUACGUGCCACAUCUGUGUCCUCUGCCACCUCAUUGUUGUUGCCAUGCUCAGUGGCCACGUGCCACAUCUGUGCCCUGUGCCAUCAGCACGAGGUUGCCAUGUUUGGUGGCCACGUGCCACAUCUGGGCCCUGUGCCAUCACCACGAGGUUGCCAUGCCUGGUGGCCAUGUGCCACAUUUACCCUGUGUCCCACUGCCGUGUUGUUGCCG
rnacentral:lncRNA from 1 species